AACGCACCUUGCGCUCCUUGGUAUUCCGAGGAGCAUGCCUGUUUGAGUGUCUUGAAUUCAUCGACCGCUGCUGCUUUUUGCGAGUGGCAGCGAGUCGGAACUGGGGGACCGUUGCUGCCGAAAGGUGGCUCCCCUCAAAUGCUUCGGUUUGGGCCUGCGGGGGUCAAACUCGACUGGGCGUUGUACUGUCCUCGCUCGACCGAGUCCCCCUUCUUACCGUGCUUGGACCUUGUCCUCCUCUGGAGCGGUGGACAGCACCUUGAAAUCUGACCUCAAAUCAGGUAGGACUACCCGCUGAACUUAA
rnacentral:misc_RNA from 1 species